AUUGAACGCUGGCGGCAUGCCUUACACGUGCAAGUCGAACGGCAGCACGGGUGCUUGCACCUGGUGGCGAGUGGCGAACGGGUGAGUAAUACAUCGGAACGUACCUUAUCGUGGGGGAUAACGCAGCGAAAGCUGUGCUAAUACCGCAUACGCCCUGAGGGGGAAAGCGGGGGAUCGCAAGACCUCGCGCGAUUAGAGCGGCCGAUGCCUGAUUAGCUUGUUGGUGGGGUAAAAGCCCACCAAGGCGACGAUCAGUAGCUGGUCUGAGAGGACGAUCAGCCACACUGGGACGGAGACACGGCCCAGACUCCUACGGGAGGCAGCAGUGGGGAAUUUUGGACAAUGGGGGCAACCCUGAUCCAGCAAUGCCGCGUGAGGGAAGAAGGGCUUCGGGGUGUAAAGCUCUUUUGUCAGGGAAGAAACACCGGCUCUAACACAGUCCGGGAAUGACGGUACCUGAAGAAUAAGCACCGGCUAACUACGUGCCAGCCGCCGCCGUAA
rnacentral:rRNA from 1 species